rnacentral:RNase_P_RNA from 1 species
UAAGUAAUUCGCCUUAUCGCUGAGUCUUAGGAAUCAGAGGAAAGUCCGGACACCAAAGUGCAACAUAGUGGCUAACGGCCACCAGUCGCGAGGCUAGGAAAAGUGCAACAGAAAGUAUGUACAGGUCAUGCUGUAGUGAAAUCAGGUAAACUCUAUGUGGUGCAAUGUCAUGUAUACCAGCUAUUGAGCGCUGCACGCGCGAUGUUGGAGGGUAGGCAGCUAAAGUUUGCCAGUAAUGGUAAACGUAGAGAAAUGAUAAGGGCUCAUCAGAGUACAGAAUCCGGCUUACAGAAUUGCUUUAUUA